rnacentral:rRNA from 1 species
UAGUCCACGCCGUAAACUAUCAAUACUCGUUUUCGGCGAUAUACAGUCGGAGACCAAGCGAAAGUGAUAAGUAUUGCACCUGGGGAGUACGAUCGCAAGGUUGAAACUCAAAGGAAUUGACGGGGGCCCGCACAAGCGGUGGAGCAUGUGGUUUAAUUCGAUGAUACGCGAGGAACCUUACCAGGGCUUAAAUGUAGAGUGACCGAUCUGGAAACAGAUCUUUCUUCGGACAGUCUACAAGGUGCUGCAUGGCUGUCGUCAGCUCGUGCUGUGAGGUGUCGGGUUAAGUCCCAUAACGAGCGCAACCCCUAUCUUUAAUUGCCAGCGAGUAAUGUCGGGGACUUUAAAGAGACUGCCCGUGUAAACAGAGAGGAAGGUGGGGAUGACGUNAAAGUCAUCACGGGCCCUUACGUCUAGGGGCUACACACGUGCUACAAUGGUAACUACAGA